GCUUGAGCAUGACGUUAACGCGUGUAUAAAUAACGCCCUCUUUCUUCGUCACAUCCUCUUUCCGUUGCUCUUCUCGCUUUGAGAAACUUCUCUUCACGAUGAGAGCCAAGUGGAGGAAGAAGCGUAUGCGCAGACUGAAGCGUAAAAGGAGGAAGAUGAGGCAGAGGUCGAAGUAAACCCUCAUCCCUGCCAGCUGUUAUCCCGUCUGAGCCUCUCCAGUUGACUGACUUCAUGGCUGAAGUGGAGCCUUCAUCAGUGGAUGAGACCUAAACCCUGAUUUGAGAUGACUUCUGUGGAAGUCUGACUGGAAUAGGCAAAGGCGCAGGACUAAACAUAAGAACUACAGCUGCUCCAUCACGGAUCAUAAUGCAUAUAUUGUUUACCAAUGCAUUGAACAAUAAACACUUUAAAAUGUA